rnacentral:piRNA from 1 species
UGAAUCUAAGGAUGCCCUCAACGAUUCCA